rnacentral:rRNA from 1 species
UUAAGUGACUAAGCGUACACGGUGGAUGCCUAGGCAGUCAGAGGCGAUGAAGGACGUGCUAAUCUGCGAUAAGCGUCGGUGAGCUGAUAUGAAGCAUUAUUAGCCGGCGAUGUCCGAAUGGGGAAACCCAGUGCAAUUCGUUGCACUAUCGUUAAGUGAAUCCAUAGCUUAACGAGGCGAACCAGGGGAACUGAAACAUCUAAGUACCCUGAGGAAAAGAAAUCAACCGAGAUUCCCCUAGUAGCGGCGAGCGAACGGGGAGCAGCCCAGAACCUGAAUCAGUUUGUGCAUUAGUGGAAGCGUCUGGAAAGUCGCGCGAUACCGGGUGAUAGCCCCGUACACGAAGGUGCGCAGCUGUGAGUUCGAUGAGUAGGGCGGGACACGUGUUAUCCUGUCUGAAUAUGGGGGGACCAUCCUCCAAGGCUAAAUACUCCUGACUGACCGAUAGUGAACCAGUACCGUGAGGGAAAGGCGAAAAGAACCCCGGCGAGGGGAGUGAAAUAGAACCUGAAACCGUGUACGUACAAGCAGUGGGAGCACCCUUUGGGGUGUGACUGCGUACCUUUUGUAUAAUGGGUCAGCGACUUAUAUUUUGUAGCAAGGUUAACCGAAUAGGGGAGCCGUAGGGAAACCGAGUCUUAACUGGGCGUUGAGUUGCAAGGUAUAGACCCGAAACCCGGUGAUCUAGCCAUGGGCAGGUUGAAGGUUGGGUAACACUAACUGGAGGACCGAACCGACUAAUGUUGAAAAAUUAGCGGAUGACUUGUGGCUGGGGGUGAAAGGCCAAUCAAACCGGGAGAUAGCUGGUUCUCCCCGAAAGCUAUUUAGGUAGCGCCUCGUGAACUCAUCUUCGGGGGUAGAGCACUGUUUCGGCUAGGGGGUCAUCCCGACUUACCAACCCGAUGCAAACUGCGAAUACCGAAGAAUGUUAUCACGGGAGACACACGGCGGGUGCUAACGUCCGUCGUGAAGAGGGAAACAACCCAGACCGCCAGCUAAGGUCCCAAAGUCAUGGUUAAGUGGGAAACGAUGUGGGAAGGCAUAGACAGCCAGGAUGUUGGCUUAGAAGCAGCCAUCAUUUAAAGAAAGCGUAAUAGCUCACUGGUCGAGUCGGCCUGCGCGGAAGAUGUAACGGGGCUAAACCAUGCACCGAAGCUGCGGCAGCGACACUAUGUGUUGUUGGGUAGGGGAGCGUUCUGUAAGCCUGUGAAGGUGACCUGUGAGGGUUGCUGGAGGUAUCAGAAGUGCGAAUGCUGACAUAAGUAACGAUAAAGCGGGUGAAAAGCCCGCUCGCCGGAAGACCAAGGGUUCCUGUCCAACGUUAAUCGGGGCAGGGUAAGUCGACCCCUAAGGCGAGGCCGAAAGGCGUAGUCGAUGGGAAACAGGUUAAUAUUCCUGUACUUGGUGUUAUUGCGAAGGGGGGACGGAGAAGGCUAGGCCGGCCGGGCGACGGUUGUCCCGGUUUAAGCGUGUAGGUGUGAUGACCUGGCAAAUCCGGUCAUCUUCAACACUGAGGCGUGAUGACGAGGCACUACGGUGCUGAAGUGGUUGAUGCCCUGCUUCCAGGAAAAGCCUCUAAGCUCUAGAUAACACUGAAUCGUACCCCAAACCGACACAGGUGGUCAGGUAGAGAAUACCAAGGCGCUUGAGAGAACUCGGGUGAAGGAACUAGGCAAAAUGGUGCCGUAACUUCGGGAGAAGGCACGCUGGCAUGUAGGUGAAGUCCCUCGCGGAUGGAGCUGAAGCCAGUCGAAGAUACCAGCUGGCUGCAACUGUUUAAUAAAAACACAGCACUCUGCAAACACGAAAGUGGACGUAUAGGGUGUGACGCCUGCCCGGUGCUGGAAGGUUAAUUGAUGGGGUCAGCCGCAAGGCGAAGCUCUUGAUCGAAGCCCCAGUAAACGGCGGCCGUAACUAUAACGGUCCUAAGGUAGCGAAAUUCCUUGUCGGGUAAGUUCCGACCUGCACGAAUGGCGUAAUGAUGGCCAGGCUGUCUCCACCCGAGACUCAGUGAAAUUGAACUCGCUGUGAAGAUGCAGUGUACCCGCGGCAAGACGGAAAGACCCCGUGAACCUUUACUAUAGCUUGACACUGAACAUUGAACCUUGAUGUGUAGGAUAGGUGGGAGGCUUUGAAGUGUGGACGCCAGUCUGCAUGGAGCCGACCUUGAAAUACCACCCUUUAAUGUUUGAUGUUCUAACCUGGUCCCGUGAUCCGGGAUAGGGACAGUGUCUGGUGGGUAGUUUGACUGGGGCGGUCUCCUCCCAAAGCGUAACGGAGGAGCACGAAGGUUAGCUAAUCCUGGUCGGACAUCAGGAGGUUAGUGCAAAGGCAUAAGCUAGCUUGACUGCGAGAGUGACGGCUCGAGCAGGUGCGAAAGCAGGUCUUAGUGAUCCGGUGGUUCUGAAUGGAAGGGCCAUCGCUCAACGGAUAAAAGGUACUCCGGGGAUAACAGGCUGAUACCGCCCAAGAGUUCAUAUCGACGGCGGUGUUUGGCACCUCGAUGUCGGCUCAUCACAUCCUGGGGCUGAAGUAGGUCCCAAGGGUAUGGCUGUUCGCCAUUUAAAGUGGUACGCGAGCUGGGUUUAGAACGUCGUGAGACAGUUCGGUCCCUAUCUGCCGUGGGCGUUGGAAGAUUGAGAGGGGCUGCUCCUAGUACGAGAGGACCGGAGUGGACGCACCGCUGGUGUUCGGGUUGUGAUGCCAAUUGCAUUGCCCGGUAGCUACGUGCGGAAGAGAUAAGCGCUGAAAGCAUCUAAGCGCGAAACUUGCCUCGAGAUGAGUCUUCCCUUGGACCUUGAGUCCACUAAAGGAACGUUUAAGACUAAGACGUUGAUAGGCUGGGUGUGUAAGCGUAGCGAUACGUUGAGCUAACCAGUACUAAUGAUCCGUGAGGCUUAACCUU